AGUGAACGCUGGCGGCAGGCCUAACACAUGCAAGUCGAACGGCAGCACAGUAAGAUUUUUCUUUUACGGGUGGCGAGUGGCGGACGGGUGACGCAUACAUCGGAAUCUACUUUUUCGUGGGGGAUUACGUAGGGAAACUUACGCUAAUACCGCAUACGACCUACGGGUGAAAGCAGGGGUUCUUCGGACCUUGCGCGAUUGAAUUAGCCGAUGUCGGAUUAGCUAGUUGGCGGGGUAAAGGCCCACCAAGGCGACGAUGCGUAGCUGGUCUGAGAGGAUGAUCGGCCACACUGGAACUGAGACACGGUCCAGACUCCUACGGGAGGCAGCAGUGGGGAAUAUUGGACAAUGGGCGAAAGCCUGAUCCAGCCAUACCGCGUGAGUGAUGAAGGCCUUCGGGUUGUAAAGCCCUUUUGUUAGGAAAGAAAAGCAGCGUGUUAAUACCUCGCUGUUCUGACGGUACCCAAAGAAUAAGCACCGGCUAACUUCGUG
rnacentral:rRNA from 1 species